UUGCAGCUAUAUCACAUUGAAGCACAGGUUCCCAUAUGAUCACAGAAGUCAAACAAUGGUGAACCUGGUCAGUACCUAGAUGAAUGACCAUUUGGGAAUAAUAGGUACUGUAA